AUUUCGUAUAUGAAUCCAAUAAUAAAUAGAAAACAGCAAAGAAAGAGAAGGCAUCUUUCAGCAGAGUGGUUAGAAAUCAGACAUAGAUUAGGCCAAGCCAUUCGCUUAACGAAAAAUAGAGAAAGCGGUGUUUCCUUCUCAGGAGACCAAAUUACUCUGCAUCUCAUCCAUUAAUUAUUAUAUUUUAGUUCUUCUGCUGUUAGUUGGAUUAGCAUGUGAUCUGCUUUACUAGCUCUAAUUUUUUUUUAUCACCAUCGCGGGCUUGGAUCUUCCCACCUCCAAAAGAAAUGGGAUUCACGAGGCUUUUCUUUCUUCUUCAAUUUUGAUCCAGCCCAAUCAAAUCAUUUUCAAGCCUAAAGCCUAAAAGAAAACUGGGACUCUGGACUGGGCAGUGAUUUUAUAGUAAUAUAGGUAGAAACUACGUCGUCGUUCCUGUAACGGUUAAACCCUUGAUCGUGGGGUUUUAUACUUGGUUAGAGUAUCGGUUGCUUCGGUUCUCUGCUGCGAAACCCUAGUUUUCCAGCAUUUGAGUACCUCCCCUUUUGCUUUCUGUUGUAGUUUUUGUUUUUAUAUAUAUUGUUGAUUCACCAUAAGGGUCAAUUAUGUCUCAAAAUAACCUUCAAUCCGAUUCAUUGCAAAACCCCAGAGUGACUUGGGAGGGUUGCAGCGUCUUGCUCGACAUCAACGACGGCGACCGGCUGCUUUUUGCUCGUCUCACAUCAGGCUCCACUUUGAAAAUUGGAAACAAAAAUUUUUCUUUGCGGCCUUUAAUCGGUUGUCCCUUCGGUUCUUUGUUCCAAACUGAAAACGGGAAGGAAGGGCCCUGUUUAUCUCGUUUUAUUCCGUCCACAGAAGGUUUGGUCCUUAGCUUGUGUUUAAUUUCAUCAUUUUCUGGUUGGCAUUUUCACUGUCUUACUCUUAUGCGUUUCUUAUUUUUUUGAUUAAUCAAAGCUGGUUUGUUAAAUGCUUGAUUUUUUUAUCUCAUGGGUCGCUUGAUUAUUUGCUUCGGUGCUUAUUAUGAAUAUGGGAAUAUCGUUGGCCAAGUAAGACCUUUUUUUAGCGUUCUUUUAUUUGUAUGCUGAUUUAUUUUGUACUUCCCCACUAGGUAAUAAUGCUGAAGAAAAAGGUGAUUGUGAAAUAAUUAAUGAAUCCAGGGACAAUCGAGCCAUAAUUGAUAAUAAUAAAGCGCAAAGCCUAACUGGCGAAGACAUAGAUGCAAUGCGGAGGUGAGGAUUCCACAAUCUAAUAUCUGGAGGCUUUUACCAGAAUGAAUUGCAUGUUGUUGAAGCUUUUAUUCUAUUCUUAACAUCUAGUUAAACAAGUACAAAAAUUUGGUUCCCAUAUGGAAUAUUUGCGACUAUAUUAGUCAUUGGAUAUGUUGCUUUAUAAGGUGUAAUUUUUACUCUUUAAGAUGUUUCUAUGAGAAUUUGCAACCUCUUUUGACACAGACAGGGUGCAAAAGGUGAUGAGAUAGUUGAAGCUCUCAUUGCCAAUAGUGCUACAUUUGAAAAGAAAACUUUAUUCUCACAAGAGAAAUAUAGGCUUAAGAAACAAAAAAAGUAUGCACCUAGAGUACUUCUAAGGCGACCCUUCACUCGAAGCAUAUGUGAGGCAUACUUCAAGAAGUAUCCUGCUAGAAUUGGAUUCCUGCGAGUAGAUGCAUUGUCUCUGCUGCUUUCAAUGGCUAAUGUCACUGCCAACUCUGAUAUCCUGGUAGUGGAUAUGGUUGGUGGCCUUCUUACUGGUGCUGUAGCUGAGCGUUUAGGAGGUACAGGUUAUGUGUGCAAUACAUAUCUUGGAGGUACACCACAGUCGAUGGAUAUAGUAAGAAUGUUCAACUUCAACAAUGAUAUUUGCAAAAGGAUUGUGCGGGCACCUCUGAAUGACCUCCGUUUAGCUCAAAGUGGAACUUCUAAACAAAUUGGUACACAUGAAGAUGCGCCUGAUAUGGAGUCAAAUGGUCUAACUUCAUCAAUCAACAUGGAGGAAGUAUCCAAGUCAUCUGAGCAUAAAGUUACAGAUCUAGAUCCAGAUGCUAAUGUUUCUCCCACAAGCAAAAUGAGCAAAGCCCCUAAAGCUGGAGAAAGUGCAUCACAAGAAGCCUUGAAAUUGUGGGGUGAAAAUGGUUUUUCAAGCCUAAUAAUUGCAGCUCCAGAUCUAGAUCCUUGGAGCUUAGUCAAAGAUCUCCUGCCACUUGUAUCAUAUUCGGCUCCAUUUGCUAUCUACCACCAGUAUCUUCAGCCUCUUGCAAAUUGCAUGCACAAUCUACAGCUUGGGAAAAUGGCAAUUGGUUUGCAAAUUUCAGAGCCUUGGCUACGUGAAUAUCAGGUUCUUCCUUCGAGAACUCAUCCAUGCAUGCAGAUGAGUGCAUUUGGUGGUUACAUCCUAAGCGGGACAAGGAUAUGUAGCAGCUAAUCCCUACUUCAAAAGAACAAAUGGAUAAUACUAUGCUCAUUCAUGCAUGGGGCUCGUCUUCGGCAAGCAAAGCAGCUGCCCACCAAAUGCAUGCUAGAUUUUCAUUGAUAUUUACUUUUGUUUGCAAAUUUGUGCCAUUCCAUGAUUUGGGAACUUGCAAUGCUGCAAGUUAAUUUUUUUCCAUGGCCGUAUUGCAAUCUAGCUUGCAUGACUUGAUUUGUUGUAAUAACAUUCAGCCUAUACUGUUGUCCUUUCUCUCAUACUGCAUGUGCUUGCAAGCCU
rnacentral:misc_RNA from 1 species